UGUUGCCAAUGUGAAGGCAUUAAGAAGUGGAGCCUUUAAGAGGAAACGGGAGCAGCCUCCACUGCUUACCUGUUCAAACCACCUUAAUUUGUGGCCUCUGGGGUGGAAGCUCACAGCUGGACUACAUCUCCUAGGCUGUGUUUCAGCCAAUGGACUAUGGCCAAAAGCAGGGAAUGCCCCUUCCAGGCCUGGCCUAUAAAAAUCCCCCAUGUGCUCCUCUGUUCUCUCUUUGUCCACCUGCCAGCUGGACAUUGAUGCUCAAGGCAACCUUGGAGGUCAUGUGUUGAAGAUGGCAGUGUCUUUGCCAACCCCACUGCCAGUGGACUUUAUGUGAACACAAAAUAAA
rnacentral:lncRNA from 1 species